rnacentral:rRNA from 1 species
GACGAACGCUGGCGGCGUGCCUAAUACAUGCAAGUCGAACGCUGAAGGAGGAGCUUGCUUCUCUGGAUGAGUUGCGAACGGGUGAGUAACGCGUAGGUAACCUGCCUGGUAGCGGGGGAUAACUAUUGGAAACGAUAGCUAAUACCGCAUAAGAGUAGAUGUUGCAUGACAUUUGCUUAAAAGGUGCAAUUGCAUCACUACCAGAUGGCCCUGCGUUGUAUUAGCUAGUUGGUGAGGUAACGGCUCACCAAGGCGACGAUACAUAGCCGACCUGAGAGGGUGAGCGGCCACACUGGGACUGAGACACGGCCCAGACUCCUACGGGAGGCAGCAGUAGGGAAUCUUCGGCAAUGGACGGAAGUCUGACCGAGCAACGCCGCGUGAGUGAAGAAGGUUUUCGGAUCGUAAAGCUCUGUUGUAAGAGAAGAAAGAGUGUGAGAGUGGAAAGUUCACACUGUGACGGUAUCUUACCAGAAAGGGACGGCUAACUACGUG